UACGAAGGGUGCAAACGUUGCUCGGAAUUAUUGGGCGUAAAGCGCACGUAGGCGGCUUAGCAAGUCGGAAGUGAAAUCCCUCGGCUCAACCAAGGAAGUGCUUUCGAAACUGCUGAGCUUGAGUACUUAAGAGGAUCGCGGAAUUCCCGGUGUAGAGGUGAAAUUCGUAGAUAUCGGGAGGAACACCAGUGGCGAAGGCGGCUUCCUGGCCUGUUCUUGACGCUGAGGCGCGAAAGCUAGGGGAGCAAACGGG
rnacentral:rRNA from 1 species